CGUGAGUCAUUUUUUGGUUGCAAAGAUGUUCGAGAGGGGCUGCAUAGAGGGAGUUCUAAGAUGAAGCCCACCUGCCAGGGAAUGAUGAUGUAUCUCGAAGGGGAGAGCUUCCUGGUGAUGGAGAUGGGUGAUAUGAGGGACCGGUGACCUUCCAGGAGGUGUCCUUGCAUUUCACCGAGGAAAGGUUCCUGUUGGAUCCUGGCCAGAGACCUGUGUACAAGGAGGUUAGGCAGGAGAUUUAUGAGAUGGCGACCUCUCUGGGAGGUAUUUGGGGGAUCAAGGAUGAAGAGAAACCAUCAGAAGUCCCACUGGAAAGAGCUGAGGAUCAGAAGUAUGAAUGGAAAUUGGGAAAUCAGGAUGGAGCAAACAGACAAAUGCAGACACUGGGGGGAUGAAUCCAGUACUGCUCAAGGUGAUAAACAUAACAUUCAAGGGAGUACGCAUCACCUAAAGGAAAUAAGAAUGUCUCCUAAGUGCAGUAAAAUGUUAAGCUACCAAAAUGCCUUGAUCACAGAUAGGAGAAGGCAUAAGAGAGGGAGAUCAGAUAAAUAUAUGGUGCGUGACAGAAGCUUCAGUUACACUGGUGCCCUUUCUUUACAUCAAAUAAGUCAUACAGGGAACAAGCUUUAUAAAUGCUUGGAGUAUGGAAAGAGCUCCAGUCUUAGUAACUCCCUUAAAAAGAUAAAGGUGUCCCCACACUUGUAGUGCGAGUCAUUUCCGACUCUUAGGGUGACGUCUUCCGACGUUUACUAGGCAGACCGUAUAUAUGAGGUGGGAUUGCCAGUUCCUUCCCCGGACUUUCUUUACCCCCCAGCAUAUGCCGGGUACUCCUUUUACCAACCAUGGAUGGAUGGAAGGCUGAGUGGACCUUGACCCCUUUUACCGGAGAUUCGACUUCCUCCUUCUGUUGGAAUCGAACUCCGGCCGUGAGCAGACCUUCAGCAGCGUUACCGCCGCUUACCACUCUGUGCCACGGACAUGAAAGAAAUGAUAAAGGGAACAACCCUUAUAAUUGCUUGGAGUGUGGAAAGAGCUUCAGUCAGAGUAGCCACCUUACUUCACAUCAAAAAUUUCAUACAGGGCACAAACCAUAUGGAUGCUUUGAGUGUGGAAAGAGCUUCAGUCAGAAUGGCCACCUUACUAGACAUCAACAAACUCAUACCGGGGACAAACCAUAUGAAUGCUUGGAGUGAAUACAGCUGUGGAAGAGCUCUGAUCCAAAACCAGAAAGGAAUCUCUUGGUCUCAAGGUUUUGCACCGAGACCCAGAAUCUCUCCCUGGUUCUGUCCCUGCAGUCCCUCGAUGUGUUCCUUGAGAGCGUAGUACACGUGUUGGAGCUCCAGUCACCCUCAGCCCCCUUCUCCUAGAUUCAAGCCUCAUUUUUUUAAAAGACUCUUUCUCUGUCCCCCUCCUGCCAAGGAGGGGUCUGGGAAUCUGGUGAUUUUGUGUGAAUGUGCAUAUUUCUCACUGACCCUGAGAAAACUCAGGCUACUUCCAAUACUUAGAACAAUGGGAUUAUUCUGUUAGACUUGAGGGAACUCUGCCAAGGAAGAGAUAACAUUUAUUCAGUAGCUCUUAAUUAAUUUUGUGUCUUAACGGCUGUCCUUGUUGUUCUUCACACAACACCUCUGGAACGCAUAAUGAGUCACAUAAGAAGGGGUGUGGGUUGGAAAUUGUAGUUUAGCUGGCUCCAGGGGCUUGCCUUAUAGUAACAUGAGUAUCUAAUAUAGCAUCUAUCUAACAAAGCUCUUUCCACUCUCUGGGCAUUUCAUCGUUUCUCCUCUUUAAGGAUCCUUUGAUGUGAAGGAAGAAUGACACUGCAAGAUACACUGAAUGAAACAUUUCCCACACUCUGGACAGCUACAUGGUUUCCCCCCACUGUGAUAUUUUUAAUGUGUAGCAAGGGUAUGAUCCAGACAUUAAUAUUGCUUCUUCCAUGUAUGGGUCCAUUGAUGCACAGAAAGGCUACAACUCUUCUUAAAGCUUUUUCCACAUUCAAAGCUUUUAUAUGGCUGCUUCCCUGUAUGGAUAAUUUGAAGUGCCUGAAGAUGGCCAUCCAGAAUGAAACAAUCAUUUAUAAGGCUUCUCCCCUGUAUGACACCUUUGAUGCGAAUUAAGGUUGCCACUCCGACUGAAGCUCUUUCCACACGCCCAGCAUUUAUAAGGCUUGUCCCCUGUAUGAGUUGUUUGAUGCAAAGUGGGAUUGCCACUGCACCUGAAGCUCUUUCCGCACUCCAAGCACUGAUAAGGUUUGUCCCCUGUAUGAAUCCUUAGUGAAAUUGCCACUCCAACUGAAGCUCUUUCCACACUCCAAGCAUUUAUAAGGUUUGUCCCCUCUAUGAAUUCUUUCAUGUCUAAUAAGAUUGCCACUCAGAUUGAAGCUCUUUCCACACUCCAAUCAUUUCUAGGAGUUUUCCCUGUGUGGAUUCUUUGAUGUGAUGUAAUGGAGUUUCUGUGACUGAAGCUCUUUCCAGGUUCCAAGCAUUCAUACGGUUUUUCCCGUGUGUGGAUUCUAUGAUGUGAUGUAAUGGAGUUUCUGUGACUGAAGCUCUUUCCGCACUCGAAGCAUUGAUAAGGUUUUUCCCCUGUAUUAGUUCUUUGAUGUCUUGUAAGGGUGCCACUGUGACUGAAACCCUUUCCACACUCAAAGCAUUUAUAAGGCUUCUCCCCUGUAUGAGUUCUUUGAGCAAAGUAAGGGUGCCACUGCAUGUGAAGCUCUUUCCACACUGCAAGCAUUCAUAAGGGUUGUCCACUGAAUGAAAUUUGUGAUGUGAAGUAAGGUGGUCAUGACGACUGAAGCUCUUUCCACACUCCAAGCAUUUAUAAGGCUUGUUCCCUGUAUGAGUUCUUUGAUGACUAGUAAGGGCACCACUUUCACUGAAGCUCCUUCCACACUCCAAGCAUUCCUAUGGUUUGUGCCCUGUAUGAAAUUUUUAAUGUGAAGUAAGGUUGCCAUUCUGACUGAAGCACUUUCCACACUCCAAGCAUUUAUAAGGUUUUUCCCCUGUGUGAGCUCUUUGACGUCUAGUAAGGGUGCCACUCACUGAAACUCUUUCCACACUCAACUCAUUUAAUAGGCUUCUCCCCUGUAUGAAUUCUUUGAUGCAAAUAAGUUUGUCCGUCACUGAAACUCUUUCCACACUCAAAACAUUUAUAAGACUUCUCCCCGGUAUGAGUUCUUUGAUGCCCAAUAAGGGUGCCACUCUGACUGACACUCUUUGCACACUCCAAGAAUUUAUAAGGUUUGUCCUCUGUAUGAGUUUUUUGAUGUGAAGUCAGGCUGCCACUGCAUCUGAAGCUCUUUCCACAUUCCAGUCAUUUAUAAGGUUUGUCCCCUGUAUGCGUUUGUUGAUGUCUAGUAAGGGUUCCACUCAGACUGAAGCUCUUUCCACACUCCAAGCAUUUAUAAGGUUUUCCCCCUGUGUGAUUUCUUUGAUGUGACAUAAUGGAGUUUCUGUGACUGAAGCUCUUUCCACACUCCAAACAUUCAUAUGGUUUGUCCCCUGUAUGAGUUCUUUGAUGUGAAGUAAGGUGGCUACUCAGACCGAAGCUCUUUCCACACUCCAAGCAUUUAUAAGGUUUGUCCGCUGUAUGAGUUCUUGGAUGUCUGGUAAGGGUGCCACUGUCACUGAAAGUCUUUCCACACUCAAAGCAUUUAAAAGGCUUGUCCCCUGUAUGAGUUCUUUGAUGUCUAUUAAGGGUGCCACUCUCAAUGAAACUCUUUCCACACUCAACGCAUUUAAUAGGGUUCUCCCCUGUAUGAAUUUUUUGAUGCAAAGUAAGUUUGCCCCUGUCACUGAAACUCUUUCCACACUCAAAACAUUUAUAAGGCUUCUCCCCUGUAUGAGUUCGUUGGUGCCUAGUAAGGCCGUCAUUCAGACUGAAGCUCUUUCCACACUCCAAGCGUUUAUAAAGUUUGUCCCCUGAAUGAGCUCUUUGAUGUGAAGUAAGGCUGCCACUGCAUCUGAAGUUGUUUCCACACCGCAAGUAUUUAUAAGGUUUUUCCCGUGUGAUUUCUUCGAUGUGACAUAAUGGAGUUUCUGUGACUGAAGCUCUUUCCACAUUCCAAGCAUUUAUAAGGUUUGUCCCCUGUAUGAGUUUGUUGAUGUCUACUAAGGGUUACCCUUACACUACACUCAACAUCAAAGGCCCUCCGGGUGCCUCCUCCGAGGGAAGCUCAGAGGAUGGCAACAAGGGAGAGGGCCUUCUCAGUGGUGGCCCUCAAAUUAUGGAAUGAUGUUUGUGACGAGGUGCGCCUGGCACCAACACUGUUAUCUUUUCAGUGCCAGGUCAAGACUUUCCUCUUCUCCCAGGUAUUUUAGCAUGUGUUUUAAAUUGUUUUAAACUUUUAAAUUGUGUUUUAAAUUGUUUUUUAAAAAUGUGUUUUAGAUUUGUAUAUCUGUUUUUAAUGUUUUUAGUUACUGUAAGAUGCCCAGAGAGCUUCGGCUAUGGGGCGGUAUAUAAAUACAAUCAAUCAAUCAAUCAAUCAAUCAAUCAAUCAAUCAAUCAAUCAAUCAAUCAAUCAAUCAAUCAAUCAAUCAAUCAAUAAAUAAAUAGAGUGAGUGAGUGAGUGAGUGAGUGAGUGAGUGAGUGAGUGAGUGAGUGAGUGAGUGAGUGAGUGAGUGAGUGAGUGAGUGAGUGAGUGAGUGAGUG